AACAAAUCAAAAGCCUCACAUCUGGGUACUGGACUCAGUCCAACAGGCAGGUGGAGAGGACCAACAAGGAGCUGGGGAGGUUUCUAGGAGUCAGUGCCAGGACCGGCAGGUGGAGAGGACCAACAAGGAGCUGGGGAGGUUCCUAGGAGUCAGUGCCAGGACCGGCAGGUGGAGAGGACCAACAAGGAGCUGGGGAGGUUUCUAGGAGUCAGUGCCAGGACCGGCAGGUGGAGAGGACCAACAAGGAGCUGGGGAGGUUCCUAGGAGUCAGUGCCAGGACCGGCAGGUGGAGAGGACCAACAAGGAGCUGGGGAGGUUUCUAGGAGUCAGUGCCAGGACCGGCAGGUGGAGAGGACCAACAAGGAGCUGGGGAGGUUCCUAGGAGUCAGUGCCAGGACCGGCAGGUGGAGAGGACCAACAAGGAGCUGGGGAGGUUUCUAGGAGUCAGUGCCAGGACCGGCAGGUGGAGAGGACCAACAAGGAGCUGGGGAGGUUUCUAGGAGUCAGUGCCAGGACCGGCAGGUGGAGAGGACCAACAAGGAGCUGGGGAGGUUUCUAGGAGUCAGUGCCAGGACCGGCAGGUGGAGAGGACCAACAAGGAGCUGGGGAGGUUCCUAGGAGUCAGUGCCAGGACCGGCAGGGGGAGUGGGCCCGGUUCCUUCCCUGGGCAGAGUAUGCCCCAGUACUCACUUUGUCACUCCUCCGCCAGGCUGACUCCAGUACGUCCUGGCAUAUCAGCUGGCCCUGGUCCCAUGGACCCCGAGCCAUACCGAAACCCCUCC